GGUUCAUGCAAGACUGACAGAACCAGUCUGUCCUGAGCUCAGCUUGUCUUCCCAUCUGGGGUGGUCCUAGGGAGAUGGAGACAAAGUGGAGUCACCACUGUUUCAUUGCAAGGGACACUGACCUCCAGCCCUAACAGGGAAACCACAGUGGCAUGAGAGCCCAUAUCUAUUUACUCUGAAGUGGGGUGGAAGUUAGGGUCAUGGCUACCAUGCCCAGCUCCCUGCCCUUCCCUAGGGGACUCUGAACUUGUCUCGGGAUGCCAGGUAGGAGGGCAGCUCACCAUUGCAGCUUUGUGCAGGACCUCGUUCUCUGAGCACUAGCUGGGGUGGAGGGUCUCUAAGACAUUGCCCAUCUCUCACCCAUCUUUUCUUCAUUCCCUGUCCUACGGUGCAGAAGUACCAGCAGGUGGAUGAGGAGUUUCUGAGGAGUGACCAUCCAGCCAUCCUGAGGUCCCAAGCCCGCUUGCCGGGUCUCCACAGCCUCCGAUCCCCUCUGGAUACCAGCUCUGUCCUCUACACUGCUGUGCAGCCUAAUGAGACUGACAAUGACUACAUCAUCCCCUUGCCUGACCCCAAGCCUGAUGCUGCUGAUGAGGGCCUCCUAGAGGGUUCCCCCAGCCUUGCCAGCUCCACCUUGAAUGAAGUCAACACUUCUUCCACCAUCUCCUGCGACAGCCCCCUGGAGCUCCAAGAAGAGCCGCAAGCAGAGCCUGAGGCACAGCUGGAGCAGCCACAGGAUUCAGGCUGCCCAGGACCUCUGGCUGAGGCAGAGGACAGCUUCCUGUAGGGACUGACUCCCAUCCAUCCUGCCAGAAACUCCCAUCUGCCUCCUAGCACCGAACCCUCUUGGCCUGGCCUG
rnacentral:lncRNA from 1 species